ACGCUCGCUGGUGGAGAGGGAGCCAAGGCGGGCGGUGAUUGGUUGAUGCGCAGCGACCGAGCCGUGACGACCACAUGUUGCGAGGGACGCGCGGCUGUGGCACGCGCGCGCACGGUUACGGCAACGGCCUUAUCUCAGAGGGGAGCGCAGCGGUUGGGUUGAGCGGACAGCGGGGACGGGGAGUCGCGGGACUUCGCACUGGGCCGACGACCUCACUCACAUGGGUCGACGACCUGCCAUUUGCUAAGAAGCCCAUAGGGCCCCGCUGUUCUGCCAUGGCCCAUUUCGACAGGUCUGAGGCCUUGUCAGAUCCUAAUCAUCUGUCGUGAGCCGGACAUUGUUACCUGCAACGCAGGGAGGUCUAACUAGUAGCGAGCGUACGAAGCUGGAUUCCACGGCGGACAGGCAGAGGCCUGCUGGCUGCUGCUGAGAGGAGACGCAGAGAAAGCUUCCACGUUGCAUCCAUCAAUGGAACAGCUCGUACUCAGGGAAGGAUGGCCAAGAGGGAAGAAGCACAACUAGCCAAGGAGGCAAGCUCAGUUCAACUCGUUUGUGUUUUAACGAAUUCUGCUCAAUUGUCCUAAUCCUAUUCCUACCUAUGCGUGACAAGAGUCCACGCUCUGAAUCGACAAAUACACGAUCGAAUCUGUUGCGUGCCCAGAAGAAAUGGAAGGGGAAACAAGUUUGAAGAAUGGCGAUGUGCCAUUGCCGUCUCCCGGAGCCGGCCGGCGGCGCAUGGUUCCAGCCCUAAAAGAAAUCCACAUGCUGCGUCACAUCUCGAGGCGGGCAAAAAGGGGACGACAACAAUUCUGAUACAACUGUUGACCCAUAUUGCAUCACAUCGCAAGAAGAGCAAAACGGGGGCUCCACAACUUUAGACUCCAUCCUAUCAUUUUGUCCUGUCAUAAUUGAAAGGAUGUCUCUCUCUCUCUCUUCAGUCUUCCCCACCAAGAGAAAGUCCAGUGAAAAAGAAUCCGGUUUUCAGAAAGAGGGAAACUAAGCAACGAUGUUGAUGUGCAUGCGAGUAUGCCAGAUGAUAGUAGUACCAUGACCACAGGACUGGUAGGCAAUAAGUUGCGCAGAGCAGUGCCAAUGAUGAACCUCUCAAAAAAAAAAAAGAUGAACUUGCCAUC